rnacentral:rRNA from 1 species
GACGAAGGUGGCAAGCGUUGUUCGGAAUCACUGGGCAUAAAGCGCUCGUAGGCGGCAAUGUAAGUCGGAUGUGAAAUCCCUCGGCCUAACCGAGGAACUGCGUCCGAUACUGCGUAGCUUGGGGACCAAAGGGGUGCAUGGAAUUUCCGGUGGAGCGGUGAAAUGCGUUGAUAUCGGAAGGAACGUCGGCGGCGAAAGCGAUGCACUGGUUGGUUACCGACGCUGAGGAGCGAAAGCCAGGGGAGCAAACGGG